rnacentral:rRNA from 1 species
UACAGAGGGCGCGAGCGUUGUCCGGAAUCACUGGGCGUAAAGGGCGCGUAGGUGGCGGCAUAAGGCUGUGGUGAAAGUCCGGGGCUCAACUCCGGAUCGGCCGUGGCAACUGUGUCGCUAGGGCACCGUAGAGGCAGAUGGAAUUCCGGGUGUAGCGGUGGAAUGCGUAGAGAUCCGGAAGAACACCAGUGGCGAAGGCGGCUAACUGGUCCAGUACUGACGCUGAGGUGCGAAAGCGUGGGGAGCAAACAGG